UACGUAGGAUGCAAGCGUUGUCCGGAUUUACUGGGCGUAAAGCGCGCGCAGGCGGCACCACAAGUACGCACUGAAAUCUCCCUGCUCAACGGGGAGGGUGGUGAGUAGACUGUGGAGCUAGAGGUCGGUAGAGGGGGGUGGAAUUGCUGGUGUAGCGGUGAAAUGCGUAGAGAUCAGCAGGAACACCCGUGGCGAAGGCGGCCCCCUGGGCCGUACCUGACGCUGAGGCGCGAAGGCUAGGGGAGCGAACGGG
rnacentral:rRNA from 1 species